GCGGAGACAAAUGUUUCCGUUCACUCCUCACACCACACUCCGCCUGGACCUACGGUUCGGGCGGUU
rnacentral:sRNA from 1 species